AAAAACAUGGCGGACAUUUCUCUCAUUUUUAGGAGAAAAAUCUAUAUUGUGAGUUAGUUUCUGCAUAAAAAUAAGUUUUGAUUACAUUUCUAGCGAGAAAUAUAUAUUUUAUUUUCAUAAUAUGCACUCAGUGAAUUUACAUAAUCACUCGCUUGCUCGAUGUUACGCAGAUUUUUCAGAUCUCGCCAGAAUAAUGUAAAACUGAUACGUUUAGGUUGCUAUGGUCGCUGCCAGGGCUCGUCACAUGACGUCUUCUACAGACUAUAAUAAAUAAGAAUAAAUAGGAAGAGGCAACAAUAAAUGAUCUAUGCCAGCGCAAGUCAAUAUUUAUCUGGCCAGUCAACUGGUUUUUAAUUUAAAAAAUCCCUCGCAGUCUGAACUGCAACAGCACGGUCUGCGGUGAGUUAAACAACGUUCAACUGCAGGAUCAAUAGCAUUCAGCGGUGAGUUUAACAACCCUCAAAUGCGGUUAAAACAACAUUCAGAGGGAAGCUUUAUUUAAACCGCGUUCAACUGCAGAUAAAACAACAUUCAGAGGUGACUUUAACAACGCUCCACGGCGCGUGGGAGUAGCAUUUUAAGCGUUUUCUGAUCAUGUAGGUAAGUGCUUUGAUUAACUUUAGACGUGAUGCAUGCUGGGUGGCAAAUAUUUUUUAUCAAAGGCUCGUUGAUGGUAAUAAAUAUACAUAUAAAUAUACAUUUUACUAUAAUACGAUUGUUUUCGAUUAAUUAAUGGGUUGUUUAAUUAUUAAUUUGUUUAUUUUAAAUCCUGUAAUUUAACAACUCUGACGUCAUCGAAUGCGACGAUGCCAAGGUCCAUUGCGAUUUCCACUCGGUGCGAGCCAAGCCAAUUUUAUUUAUUGGGAAACAGGAUAAAGAGGCUUCGAAUAAGUGGGUUGCAUAUAUUAUUACCCAUUGGCACCCCACUCCUGUCACUACAAUUUUUUGGAGGAGAUGCGGAGGGCUUUAUCUUGACAAAAGGUCAGAGUAAUGUUUAUGUUUAGAGAUUUAGGAUUUAAAAUACAUGUAUAUUCCUUUGUUGAUAUGUACAGAUUUUAUGAUGAAAGUAAACUUGUAUUAUAGCAACCUCCACAGGACAGCAGCCUGAGAGCCUUGCCAUGGAGCGGCCUGAGAGCCCUGCUGUGAAAUGGCCGGAGAACCUCACCAAGAAGUCUGAGGCAAUAUUUGUACUAAAUCUUGUUCUUCUGUCUUCUAGACUCUCUCCAACCUCUCUUGCUCCUACUACCUCUACUGCUUUUACAACAAUUUUCUCUCCACUUUUUUUCCCCACCUCCACUGCCAUGCUCUAAGUUUUUGCCACAGAGGAAGAGGAAGAUAAAGAAAUCUACCUCUUCCCACUAUACCACACUUGUCUCUCUUCAAUUUGCAUCUGUCUCUUCCAGUUCUAAAUCUCAGAAGUGGCCACUGGUGAAGAACAGAAUAAAGGACUCCACAUCUUACUCCACAAUUUGCUCCUAGUCAAAUAUGUCUUCAUGUUAAUUAAAUUCAUUUAGCUAACCAGGUAUUUGUUAGCCAGUUCACAGUGUUUUAGAGCCCAAUGUCCAAGGACUGUGGUCAAUGUAAAUUCCUGACUUAAAUGGACACUUCACUUUUUUUUGCUAAUUUUCCAGCAGUAAGUUUUACCGUUUUAGAAUCCAUUCAGCUGAUCUCCGCGUCUGGCACUACCUUUUUUAGCAUAGCUUAGCAUAAUACAUUGAAUCUGAUUAGGCCAUUACCAUCACGCCAAAAAAUAACCAAAGAGUUUCGAUAUUUUUCCUAUUUAAAACUUGACUCUUCUGUAGUUACAUCGUGUACUAAGACAGACGGAAAAUUAAAAGUUGUGAUUUUCUCAGCUGAUAUUUCUAGGAACUAUACUCUUAUUCUGUCGUAAUAAUCAAGGACUUUGCUGUCGUAACAUGGCUGCAGAAGGCAUAAUGAUAUAACGCAGUGCCCGAAAAUAGUCCCCUUAGUAUCUUUCAAUAGCAGGGGACUUUUUUCGGGCACUGCGUAAUAUCAUUUUGGUUGAUUGACAAAAACAAGCACAAAUUUGUUUGACACUAAUGGAAAGGACUGCAUAUCACUUCACAUAAAUAUGGACUCAUGUGAUUCACCUACAAAGCAUGGCAUUCAUGGCUUAAUAAACUUUUUGUCUUUUCAUCAUUUCAGGUUGCUGAAAAUGUAGAUGGCAGAAGGUUUCCUUUUCGAUAAAAUAACUGAGGAACAGAUAAAUGAGAGGAAAGCCGAAUUGAAAGUUCACUGGUUACGUGCUCUGUGUGUGGAAAAACCUGGGAUGACACAUAGGAGCCUGCCAGCAAAUUCCAACACAAGUCCCCACAUCCCAACCAGUUUUCAGCAUGACAGCCUACACCUUUACAUUAUCAAGCACCCUUCAACUGUUUAAUUUUGAGUGUCUUUGCUUGCUGUUCUUUAUUAAAGUUUUUGCACAGUA